AUGCCAUGGUGCGGACAUAUGACCAGCAUCCCUUUAAAACGCUCUCAUGUUUCAUGCAAUAUUUUCGUUGGUCUCUGUUUAAAACUCAAAAUGUCAUCAAUCUGUUG
rfam:Nicotiana sylvestris Nsyl_contig98040, whole genome shotgun sequence.